GAUGAACGCUGGCGGCGUGCCUAAUACAUGCAAGUCGAGCGGACAGACGAGGGGCUUGCUCCUCUGACGUUAGCGGCGGACGGGUGAGUAACACGUGGGUAACCUACCUAUACGACAGGGAUGACUUCGGGAAAGCGGAGCUAAUACCGGCUAAUAUAUUGACCCUCACGGUUCCAUAGUGAAAGACGGUGUUGCUGUCACUUAUAGAUGGAUCCGCGCCGCAUUAGCUAGUUGGUAAGGUCACGGCUUACCAAGGCAACGAUGCGUAGCCGACCGGAGAGGGUGAGAGGCCACACUGGACCUGAGACAAGGCCCAGACCCCUAUGCUACGCGGCAGAGGGGAAUGUUCCGCUAGGGGCUGAAGCUUGACGUGGAACCGCCACGUGGGUUACGAAGGGCUUCGGAUCGUAAUUCUCUGUUAUUAGGGAAGAAGAAAUGUGUAAGUAACGAGUCACUUCUUGACGGUACCGAAUGAGAAAGGAACGGCUAACUCCGUG
rnacentral:rRNA from 1 species